UCUCGUUCUGCGCCGCGUGUGUGCACGCCUCUAGCGUUAGUUUCUGACAGUCAAUCACGCCGCAGAUCUUCUCCCUGUCCGGGUCCGGUAUCGAAGGAUGCGCCUGCCAUUGGAGAUUACGCGUAACUUGCAGCACCUUUUUUGAGCCCAUUCUGAAAGCCGUGCCUGAAACGUAGUUUCACACAUGUACAGUCGUCGUCGGGCGAACGGUCUGAAGGGCAUUAAAACAGGAGGAGGAGCAGGUCCUGACCCAGAUGGCGGCGGCUGCUUAUGUGGAGGGGUGACAACGCCAGGCCAAGGGCGGCACAAGCAGUGGCGGCCUUGAUCAAUGCUGGCGUAAAGGGUGCUCAAAUGUUGCCCGCACCCUCCCCAUGAGUACUUGCCACAUUGCUUGCACUCCACCCGAGGGUAAGCACACGGGUCAUCCUAUGAUACCAAUGCGCUAGUUUCAAAAUCUCACGAGGUAUAAUCCCGAUGAUACAACCGAGGCGGUGUCUGCCGGUACUAUUAAUCUUUGGACUAAUAAUGCUGGAGUCUUUAGAAUUUAUAUUUGUCCAGACACUAGCUGAGGGCACAAAAAACUUUGGUUAUAACCCUAGGCAAUUGGGAGUGUCAACCGACAAUAACUACCUAACAGUUAAAGAUGAGCGAUAUUUGUGUGACCAACCAAGUGCUAUAGAAUGAAAACACAAACCCAGCAAUCUCUUGUAAUUUCAGUUGAUUAAUAAAGGUUGAAAUGU